UCUGCUGCUUGCCAGUUUCAACUUAACAUGGAGCGAGUUACUUUAUGUGUGUUAUGCAUGGAAAGCCGAACAACGGCUUUGUCGUUGACGCUCCUGGGUUCACCAGAUUCUCCAGAGACGGAACCUAUUUGGAGAGUACUACCACCUACUCCAGGAGCUGUGUCUGGAUGACGGUCAGUGUCAGCGGUACUUCUCUCUAUUCAGGACGUAGUCUGAGGGUCUUCUGUCCCGCCUUGGGGGAUGAAUCAGCCUCCAGGACACCAACUACAGGUGCUUUAUCCCUGCUGCUGAAUGCCUUGUCAUCUGUUUUCGGUCACCUCAUCUAUGCUGAGACAUUGUAGAGCCAUGCAUGAAAACAAUGAGACUAAUCAAGCAGGGCCGUGCUCAGGGAGAAGAAUAAUGUGGAUAUGGCCUUGGUCAGUAUAGAGAUUGAGGAUACCCAGCUCUUUAGUAUUGUGGAGGAUAUUGGGUUUAGAAAGAUUGUGGCGGCUUUGAACCCUACCUAUGUUCUCCGCACAAGGUAGGUGUGUAUCCACCUACCAUAAUAGCAUUCAAAGAAUCCUCUCUUCUUUCAUGUAGGCUUUGAAAGCAAUGGUUGAGCAUGAGGUGAAAACCAAAAGUAUUGUGACAAAAGCCUCAGCUGUUACUUU